rnacentral:pre_miRNA from 2 species
AUGUAGGGCAAUUUGUCUUUAAGUAGGGAUAAAUUAGUCUAAAAAAAAAAAGGAAUCCUAGAUAGUUUUUCCUUCAAGUCAAGAAGCUUGU